GACGAACGCUGGCGGCGUGCCUAAUACAUGCAAGUUGAGCGCUGAAGGUUGGUACUUGUACCAACUGGAUGAGCAGCGAACGGGUGAGUAACGCGUGGGGAAUCUGCCUUUGAGCGGGGGACAACAUUUGGAAACGAAUGCUAAUACCGCAUAAAAACUUUAAACACAAGUUUUAAGUUUGAAAGAUGCAAUUGCAUCACUCAAAGAUGAUCCCGCGUUGUAUUAGCUAGUUGGUGAGGUAAAGGCUCACCAAGGCGAUGAUACAUAGCCGACCUGAGAGGGUGAUCGGCAACAUUGGGACUGAGACACGGCCCAAACUCCUACGGGAGGCAGCAGUAGGGAAUCUUCGGCAAUGGACGAAAGUCUGACCGAGCAACGCCGCGUGAGUGAAGAAGGUUUUCGGAUCGUAAAACUCUGUUGGUAGAGAAGAACGUUGGUGAGAGUGGAAAGCUCAUCAAGUGACGGUAACUACCCAGAAGGGGACGGCUAACUACGUG
rnacentral:rRNA from 1 species